GACGAACGCUGGCGGCGUGCUUAACACAUGCAAGUCGAGCGGUAAGGCUCCUUCGGGAGUACACGAGCGGCGAACGGGUGAGUAACACGUGAGCAACCUGCCCUUCUCAUCGGAAUAAGCGUUGGAAACGACGUCUAAUGCCGAAUAUGACAACGGAUCGCAUGAUCGGUUGUGGAAAGCUCCGGCGGAGAAGGAUGGGCUCGCGGCCUAUCAGCUUGUUGGUGGGGUAACGGCCCACCAAGGCGACGACGGGUAGCCGGCCUGAGAGGGUGACCGGCCACACUGGGACUGAGACACGGCCCAGACUCCUACGGGAAGCAGCAGUGGGGAAUAUUGGACAAUGGGCGCAAGCCUGAUCCAGCAACGCCGCGUGAGGGAUGACGGCCUUCGGGUUGUAAACCUCUUUCAGCAGGGACGAAGCGAAGGUGACGGUACCUGCAGAAGAAGGACCGGCCAACUACGUGCCAGCAGCCGCCGUAAAAC
rnacentral:rRNA from 1 species